GACGAACGCUGGCGGCGUGCUUAACACAUGCAAGUCGAACGGAAAGGCCCAGCUUUUGUGGGGUGCUCGAGUGGCGAACGGGUGAGUAACACGUGAGUAACCUGCCCUUGACUUUGGGAUAACUUCAGGAAACUGGGGCUAAUACCGGAUAGGAGCUCCUGCUGCAUGGUGGGGGUUGGAAAGUUUCGGCGGUUGGGGAUGGACUCGCGGCUUAUCAGCUUGUUGGUGGGGUAGUGGCUUACCAAGGCUUUGACGGGUAGCCGGCCUGAGAGGGUGACCGGCCACAUUGGGACUGAGAUACGGCCCAGACUCCUACGGGAGGCAGCAGUGGGGAAUAUUGCACAAUGGGCGGAAGCCUGAUGCAGCAACGCCGCGUGCGGGAUGACGGCCUUCGGGUUGUAAACCGCUUUCGCCUGUGACGAAGCGUGAGUGACGGUAAUGGGUAAAGAAGCACCGGCUAACUACGUG
rnacentral:rRNA from 1 species